UACGUAGGGUGCGAGCGUUGUCCGGAAUUAUUGGGCGUAAAGAGCUCGUAGGCGGCUUGUCACGUCGGAUGUGAAAACCCGGGGCUCAACCCCCGGGCCUGCAUUCGAUACGGGCAGGCUAGAGUUCGGCAGGGGAGACUGGAAUUCCUGGUGUAGCGGUGAAAUGCGCAGAUAUCAGGAGGAACACCGGUGGCGAAGGCGGGUCUCUGGGCCGAUACUGACGCUGAGGAGCGAAAGCGUGAGGAGCGAACAGG
rnacentral:rRNA from 1 species